GGGCUGAUGGCGGCCGUGACGUUGGACGAGUCCGGGGGCGGCCUCCAGACGCCCGGAGGAGGGCUCAGCCUCGUCUGCAAGGCCUCCAGGUUCACCUUCAGCAGUUACAGCAUGGGUUGGGUGCGACAGGCGCCCGGCAAAGGGCUGGAAUGGGUCGCUGGUAUUCAGAGUGAUGGUAGUGACACAACAUACGGGCCGGCGGUGGAUGGCCGUGCCACCAUCUCGAGGGACAACGGGCAGAGCACAGUGAGGCUGCAGCUGAACAACCUCAGGGCUGAGGACACCGGCACCUACUACUGCACCAGAGCUCCUUGUAGUGCUACUUGGAGUUGUGGUACUUGGAGUUAUGCUUAUCGUAUCAACAGAGAGAGAUCAGAGCCCAAGUGA